rnacentral:ncRNA from 1 species
GCCUUAUCAAGAGUGGUGGAGGGACUGGCCCAAUGAAACCCGGCAACCGGUCUUCGCCUUUAGGAGAUGCGGUGCCAAUUCCUGCAGGACGUUUUCCUGAAAGAUAAGGG